rnacentral:rRNA from 1 species
UACGGAGGGAGCUAGCGUUGUUCGGAAUUACUGGGCGUAAAGCGCGCGCAGGCGGCUUGCCAAGUCAGGUGUGAAAUCCCAAGGCUUAACCUUGGAACUGCACUUGAAACUGGCUCGCUAGAGAAUGGUAGAGGAUAGUGGAAUUCCCAGUGUAGAGGUGAAAUGCGUAGAGAUGUGGAGGAACACCGAUGGCGAAGGCAGCCCCCUGGGUCAACACUGACGCUCAGGCACGAAAGCGUGGGGAGCAAACAGG